CCUACGGGAAGCAGCAGUGGGGAAUAUUGGACAAUGGGGGGAACCCUGAUCCAGCCAUGCCGCGUGUGUGAAGAAGGCCUUAUGGUUGUAAAGCACUUUAAGCGAGGAGGAGGCUCUUUUGGUUAAUACCCAAGAUGAGUGGACGUUACUCGCAGAAUAAGCACCGGCUAACUCUGUGCCAGCAGCCGCGGUAAUACAGAGGGUGCGAGCGUUAAUCGGAUUUACUGGGCGUAAAGCGUGCGUAGGCGGCUUUUUAAGUCGGAUGUGAAAUCCCCGAGCUUAACUUGGGAAUUGCAUUCGAUACUGGGAAGCUAGAGUAUGGGAGAGGAUGGUAGAAUUCCAGGUGUAGCGGUGAAAUGCGUAGAGAUCUGGAGGAAUACCGAUGGCGAAGGCAGCCAUCUGGCCUAAUACUGACGCUGAGGUACGAAAGCAUGGGGAGCAAACAGGAUUAGAUACCCUGGUAGUCCAUGCCGUAAACGAUGUCUACUAGCCGUUGGGGUCUUUGAGACUUUAGUGCGCAGCUAACGCGAUAAGUAGACGCCUGGAUGAUCGGCCU
rnacentral:rRNA from 1 species